rnacentral:rRNA from 1 species
GAUGAACGCUGGCGGCGUGCCUAAUACAUGCAAGUCGAGCGAAAAGACGAGGAGCUUGCUCCUCUGACGUUAGCGGCGGACGGGUGAGUAACACGUGGAUAACCUACUUAUAAGACUGGGAUAACUUCGGGAAACCGGAGCUAAUACCGGAUAAUAUAUUGAACGGCAUGGUUCAAUAGUGAAAGACGGUUUUGCUGUCACUUAUAGAUGGAUCCGCGCCGCAUUAGCUAGUUGGUAAGGUAACGGCUAACCAAGGCAACGAUGCGUAGCCGACCUGAGAGGGUGAUCAGCCACACUGGAACUGAGACACGGUCCAGACUCCUACGGGAGGCAGCAGUAGGGAAUCUUCCGCAAUGGGCGAAAGCCUGACGGAGCAACGCCGCGUGAGUGAUGAAGGUCUUCGGAUCGUAAAACUCUGUUAUUAGGGAAGAAAAAAUGUGUAAGUAACUAUGCACGUCUUGACGGUACCUAAUCAGAAAGCCACGGCUAACUACGUG